rnacentral:rRNA from 1 species
UCGGCAAGGCUUUGUUGCUGUCAGCAGCGGCGAGUGAAGCGGCAAGAGCUCAGAUUUGAAACCGCCUCGGCGAGUUGUAAAUUGCAGGUUGGAGUCUUUGUGGCGGCGUGUGUCUAAGUCCCUUGGAACAGGGCGCCAUUGAGGGUGAGAGCCCCGUGCGGCACGCGUCUAAGCUUUAAGACUCUUCUGACGAGUCGAGUUGUUUGGGAAUGCAGCUCUAAGUGGGUGGUAAAUUCCAUCUAAGGCUAAAUAGUGGCGAGUUACCGAUAGCGAACAAGUACUGUGAAGGAAAGAUGAAAAGCACUUUGAAAAGAGAGUGAAACAGCACGUGAAAUUGUUGAAAGGGAAGGGUAUUGGGCUCGACAUGGGGACUGCGCACCGUUGCUUCUUGUAGGCGGCGCUCUGUGCGGUUUCUGGGCCAGCAUCAGUUUUAGCCGCGGGAGAAUGGGGGGAGGAACGUGGCUCUUCAGAGUGUUAUAGCGUCUCUCAGAUGCCGCGAGCGGAGACUGAGGUCUGCGAUUCGUUCAAAA